CCCUUAGAUGUUCUGGGCCGCACGCGCGCUACACUGAACAUAUCAGCUUGUUUUUCCCUUCCUGAGAAGGACGGGUAAACCCCUGAGCCAUGUUCAUGGUAGGGAUUGGGGCUUGCAAUUAUUCCCCACGAACCAGGAAUUCCUAGUAAACGCAAGUCAUCAGCUUGCAUUGAUUACGUCCCUGCCCUUUGUACACACCGCCCGUCGCACCUACCGAUUGAAUGGUCCGGUGAAAUCCUCGGAUUGAGACUUUGAUUUCUUCACGGAAAACGCUGUUUUAAAAAGUUGAUUAAACCUUACCAUUUAGAGGAAGGUGAAGUCGUAACA
rnacentral:rRNA from 1 species